UACGUAGGGUGCAAGCGUUAAUCGGAAUUACUGGGCGUAAAGCGUGCGCAGGCGGCUUUGCAAGACAGAUGUGAAAUCCCCGGGCUCAACCUGGGAACUGCCUUUGUGACUGCAUAGCUAGAGUACGGUAGAGGGGGAUGGAAUUCCGCGUGUAGCAGUGAAAUGCGUAGAUAUGCGGAGGAACACCGAUGGCGAAGGCAAUCCCCUGGACCUGUACUGACGCUCAUGCACGAAAGCGUGGGGAGCAAACAGG
rnacentral:rRNA from 1 species